rnacentral:rRNA from 1 species
AUGCACAACGGUAGAGAACCGGACAAUAACCGGGGUCUGAACCCCAGGAGCCCGGAGGAAAUCAGCGCAAGUGAGCUGAGAAACAUCAUGAGUCACCUCAAAGAACCCCUUAGCACUGGCUCCCCGUGCAUGAACAACACGUUCAGGGAUACGCUCCCGGUCAAACUGUGCAAGCUUUUCAAUCAGAUGGUAAUCCUCAAGAAGGAUAGGUCCUGUGAAAGGAAGAAUUCAUCAUUAUGCCGAGUAACAAAUUAUCCACGGGAGAAGAUAAGAAAAGCAGAAGCUUCUGGGCAUAGCUACAGAUACAAAAGAGGAAAAAUCACAUCGGGCAACUUCAGGUAG